rnacentral:lncRNA from 1 species
CAAGAUGCCGGCGCACCUACAGAGAGAGGAGCCUGUGUGGCUGGAGGGCACCAAACUGUGUUGCCGCCCUUCGCCCACUGCUUCUGGCCAAGAGGCCAGUGACUUUGUAUGUGUGGAUGUAGGCCUGAGCAAACCACCUGAGCCCACCGUACCUAUACCUGUCCAAGACCCUGCACCCAACCCAGGCUGUCUGGCCCGCUGUUGGGCACGCUGUAGGGAAUGGCGUCGUGUAGCGCUGGUUUCCGUGCUGUUGCUGGUGCUGUUUUGUGUGGUACUCUGGCCUGUGCACUGUGCACUCAAAACUGGAAAUCUGCAUUGCAUUAACCGGCCACCUGCAGCCACUGUCACCAUCGCUGCCACCACCGAUGCCCUAUCCCUUGGGCUCUUAGCCAACAACUAGGGUCACCACUUGGGCCAGGCCAGCUAUUCCAAAAACUCCAUGGCUAGGUCUCUAAUACACUGAGGUCAGGAACACAGCAGCUUUUGAAGUUAGUUGGUCCCCCAGAACCCCAUAUAGGACACGUACAUGUUCCUCACUCUUCAGGACUAGAUGCCAACGAGGACAAAAAGAGUCCUCAAAGCCUCCAAGAACUUCUAAAGGCUCGAGAGACUGCCCUGGGAUCCUGUCAUACAGAUGGGGAAAGGAGCCCCGGGGACGUCUGGUCAGAUGUCUGGCCUCCCUGAACACACGGAACUGGCAAAACAGCAGGAGUUUGCCAUCCUUCCUUUCCUAAGACAUUGCUGGGGGUGCUGAGCAGCUGGUUAUCCAAGAGUGAGAGUGAAGAGGCAGGUCACCCUCUGCCCAUGCCACAGCGGGAACUUGCCAGCUGUCCCCAGCCAUUAUGAAUAGUACAUUUCAAAAUAAAUUAUUUUGUAUAAAUAUUAU